rnacentral:tRNA from 1 species
UAGAAAUUUAUAGUUUAAUCUGCUAAAUUAGGCUAGGGAGGCUCAUCUUCCGUUUCUA